rnacentral:rRNA from 1 species
GGGGAAUUGUUCGCAAUGGGCGCAAGCCUGACGACGCAACGCCGCGUGGAGGAUGAAGGUCUUCGGAUUGUAAACUCCUGUUGAUCGGGACGAACAACCAUCGGGAUAACACCCCGGAGGUCUGACGGUACCGAUUGAGGAAGCCCCGGCUAACUCUGUGCCGGCAGCCGCGGUAAUACAGAGGGGGCAAGCGUUGUUCGGAAGUACUGGGCGUAAAGGGCGCGUAGGCGGCCGCCUAAGUCAGACGUGAAAUCCCUCGGCUCAACCGGGGAACUGCGUCUGAUACUGGGUGGCUUGAAUCCGGGAGAGGGAUGCGGAAUUCCAGGUGUAGCGGUGAAAUGCGUAGAUAUCUGGAGGAACACCGGUGGCGAAGGCGGCAUCCUGGACCGGCAUUGACGCUGAGGCGCGAAAGCCAGGGGAGCAA